rnacentral:rRNA from 1 species
UACGGAGGGUGCAAGCGUUGUCCGGAAUCACUGGGCGUAAAGGGCGCGUAGGCGGCUCAUGAAGGCUGUGGUGAAAGUCCGGGGCUCAACCUCGGAUCGGCCGUGGCGACUUGUGGGCUGGAGCACUGUAGAGGCGGGUGGAAUUCCGGGUGUAGCGGUGGAAUGCGUAGAGAUCCGGAAGAACACCAGUGGCGAAGGCGGCCCGCUGGGCAGUGGCUGACGCUGAGGCGCGACAGCGUGGGGAGCAAACAGG